rnacentral:lncRNA from 1 species
UAAGAUCUGUGUUUAGGAUUUUCUUUGGAUCCAUUUACUACCAAAUGUAUUUGUUUAAAUGGGAAACCAGUUCCAUCUUGGCCAAAGGAGGAGCAGAGGUAAGCAUAAAGGCUAGAGGAAGAAGUCCAAUGAGGCAGAGGUUGCCUGUUAGCCCCAGUGGCACAUGGAGCAGAGGUAGGUAGAUCCUUGUAGCUCACCGGCUGGCCAGCCUAGCCAAUGUGGAGAACUUCUGAACCAGUGAGAGACCCUGGCUUAAAGGAAUAAGGUGGAGAGCGAUAGAGGAAAAUGUCCAAUGUCCUGCUCUGGCUUCUGUGUGCGUGCACACUACGUCAAAGCAACCAGAUACCCACAUGCAAACAAUAGACUCAUAACCACGGGUGGGGGUGGGGAGGGGGAGCAAUGAUACCUGGGAGAAAUGCGAAAAAACAAAACAUAAAGGUGAAUAGAACAUAUUUAAUCUCCCAGACUAGAGCAAAAGGCUUCCAGUCUAGAUUGCUUGGCAGAAACAUGAACACCUAUCUGCUGGUGAGCAUAUCCAGAUGUCACAGAUAAAGAAAUCUCAUACACUGGGAAGCAAGCUCACCCUCCCGCCCUUUACCCCGAGCCACUAUGAAGGUUGAGGUGUUCUGAUAGCCUACCUUGUACCUUUAGAAAUCUCGUUUAAAAACCAGAUAUUCCCUCAUCAACACCAGGAUCCCAGAGUUGCCCGGUUAGAAAGAGGUUCUGUAUUUGUUUGCAAUAUCACCCAAAGAUUUUGCCCCUGGGGUGGGGAACAGGCCAUACCAAUGGAUGGAGGAAAAUUUCAGGGUGUGCUGAAUUCAAAAUAUACAUUCAUAUUUUCACUAUUUUCGAAUUUUUAAAAGAAGACUAGUUAGUAUAACUACGGAACAUUAGGCUGUAUUCCCCAGGGGAAAUUUUUAAAUAGAAAUUUGGGUCCACAGUGACCAUUGAAAGGGGAGAGAUGAUAUGCAAACUAUUUGCUAUUUUUGUGUGGCUAGAACCCAAUUGUUUUAGAUUGUAUUUAGACUAGUUUUACAACUAGUUGAUUUAAAUAUAAAACGUAAGUAACUAUUGUACUUCUGACGGUAAAUGUCAGCUCUAUAGCAUUUUCUUUGAUAGUGUAAAAUACUAUCAUCGUGAGGCUUAAAUGAGGAAGUCAGGAAGAGUAGAGGAAAUGUGUACCCUAUACACUAUUGAAGGAAUUCAGAUAAUAUCUAAAGACAAUAUCUGCUGCUAAUAAUACAUCGGCAAAAAAACUCUUCUAUUUUUCCACUUUCACUUAAAAAUUUCUUUUUAGACGGAAACAUUUACCUGAUUUUUAACUUCUAAUCUCCUUGUUAAAUAAUGGUAACUAAUAGUUUCCAAUAUUAUAUUAUGCUUUUUAUGAUAUUUGAGCUACACAUAUUCUCCUAUAUAUUCAGAAUUAUACUCACCACAUAUUAACAAAACUUACUUCUGAACAUGGAUAUAAGUAAUUUUAUAAAUGGUCUUUGUGUUUUUUUAGAUGUGUCUACAUAUUUUUGUAAAAAGAAAUGGUGUUUACCCUAGCAAUUAAUUCUUGUAAAAGAUAUGAGAAUGUUGCAGUGCACUGAACUCUCCUCCUGAUUAAAUGGGAAUUAUAGACUGCAGUUUAUCCGCUGGAUAUUGCAGACCAAGCUCCAGAGCUGGCUGUAUGGCACACACUGAUUCUUUUUGGAAACACUGCCAGACUGCAGCCAACACUCUAUUAUCUUGAGCAUACUCCCUGCUAAACUAAGAAUCUGUGCUAAAAGCAAGUCAGAAGUGCUUGGUUUUUAGAAUUUUCUAUUUGAUAAGGUACCAUAGCUUUCUUUUCUAAUGCUAGUGGCUCAGUCCCAAGUGUAUUUACUUACACAGGGAAGUAGAGUUCUCUUUGUUUUAUGGUGACAACCAGCGUUGUUGGUGAGUUAUAAGGGGAAACGAGGAUGGAGGGAUACUUCCUAGAAGAUUUAGAAUCAUGUUUCUGCACGUGAAUUGAUCAGGUAACUUGUCAAACCCGUUGCCCAUCGGAGGACAAGUAACACAGAUGGUGAACUGACCCAAUUUUAUUAUGCAGUUGAAAGUCAAAACAGAAGUUUUUCAGAAGAAACUCGAUGAAAUGUAAAGUUAUGUAAAUAUUGGGUAAAUAAUGUGAAAAUAUUAACUUUCCUAGCAGAGUCCCGGAAUGUUGUAUGCUAGUUCAGUACUUGUCGAAUGUAUGGGUAACUCUCACCGUAAAUAAUUUAAGACACUGAGACUUCCUUGUAAAAAUAUUCUGCGUUUCUGAGACAUCGAGUUUUACCAUUUCCUUUUCAAAUCUUCCCACUUCCUGUCCCCAAACAAUUUGUUCUACUUCGUUUGAAAAGAGGUUGGGAGGAUUUCGCAUUCCCCAUACAACUCUAUCCAUGUUGUAAGGCCGUUGCCUGUUUGUCUAUGCUCCUGACUGGAUGGUAGUGGAGGCAGAAAUUAUGUCUUCUUUUCUCUUUGUUUGCCUGCCCCUCUCUGCAGACUGUAGUACUCUAUGUAUAGACUCUGAACUCAAUACUUGUGGGAUUGCCUCGAGUUGCAAUUUGCUAAGUGAGUCCAUAGAAAACUGACUCCCCCAUGCAUGACGCCACCCACUCCAACUCUCCCCUCAUCCAGUGUCCUGCAAAUGCCAGAGAUGCUGGAAGCUUGAGGAAAUUUUAUUUUAGCCUCAUCCUCUGAUGGCUACACAGAUAUGCUCCCCAGAGGAAAGGCGUCUAUGAGACUUGAACCAAGCAAGUAACUGGAGCCUGAAGAGCCCAGUAGGAUCACUACAAUAUCUAGAUACUGACAUUCCCUGCAUAUGCACAGGCACCAUUACAAAUCCAGCCAUUUGGAUGUCUGAUUCUGAAGAGCCAAACCCUGGGUGUCGUGCUGUCCACACGUCUGGUUGAUUGCCUGCGAACUUUCCCCUUCCAUUCCACAUGGCCUCGGCAACAGAUAAAGUGUGGAGCCUUUCCCACAUUUUACAUGGUGCUUGGUGGUGUAAAAUUCAGCUUUUGUGCUGUUCUUUUCUCUCCCUCUCGCCACUGCCUGGAUCUCAUUAGAAACCAUUAGUGAUGUUAUACUAAACCUAUGGAAUCCUAAACAUGCUUUCAAAACCCCGUGGAAUAAAGAUGUCUCCUACCAAACCCAAAAUGCAAGGGAACAGACAAAGUUACAUUUCUUUAAGAAAGACUGACUCAUUUCAUAGUUUCCAAAUUGUUUUGACUGAAGCUUCUCAAAAUAAACUUUCUUCAAGAGGCAGCCUUUGAUGUCUGGCUUUGGAAAAGAAAAAUCAUUUCUCAGAGAUACAUUUCAAUUCUUUUUGGGGUGUUCAUGUAUUUCUUUUGUGCUGAUUAACUUAUUUUAUUUCAACCAGCGAAUGACAUGAUAUUAAAUAGCCAUCUGACUAGGGAAGAAAAGUUAUGUUUGAAGUGGUCUCAACUCCUACAUAAACUGAACAUAAAGAACAGGCCAUGUGAUUUAAAAAAAAUUUUUAAUUACCACAAAAAUAGCAUCUCCAGAUCCUGCCAGAGGGGGGAUUUGGUCUGUUAAAGAUAACGCACAGUUUAAACGUCACCAAAGUGGAAGAUUAGAUCUAGAGUUAAGCUUCCUAGUGAGACUUGUGAUUCAUUUGCUAUUUCCUGGCUUAGGCAACAUUUUUAAUUUUUCACAGUCUCAAGCCUUAAUCCUGGAAGGGUAAUUCAAGUGUGAGAGCUCACAGACAGCAAUUUGUUUGGAGUGGCAAUUUGCCAUGGGCUUGCCUCUGGGUCCUUUUGUAUUCUUGCAGCAAGGGGAGUUAGAGGUAGCCAUUCAUUAAGUCCAGGUCUGCACAAGACCACUGAAACAAAGGAUUUUUCAAUCAAAUUAUUUUUUUUUCUUAAGCAUUAACUAGCUUUUUUGUCGACAGAUUCUUGUUAAAAAGAUAUCAUUUAUUUCUAGUCAAACAACUAUAAGUGAAAUUACAUAAUUGAGCAACCUUUUUUUCUUCUUUGUUUUAAAAGUAAGAAUUCCCCUUAGACAGGCAGAAGAGAAGAUGAAGACCCCAAAAUCUAGUCAUAACCAUGCUGCUUAUCUGUUGCUAACCAAGCUUCUUAACUUCACCCAAUUUCAAUUUCUUCAUCUACAAAUGGAGGGGGGAAAAAUCCCAGCUCCCUGUGACUCAUUGGAAUACCAAGGAGGAGAUGCUGUGACUUUUAUCCCAUAAUAUCUGUGAAUUUCUCUCAUCUCUAGUCUUGGUUUCUUUCCCCUCCCACUAGAGUGGUAACUGGUCAACGACAACUUGAGAGAGCAUCUGACCCUCAUUCUACUAACAUG